UACGUAGGGGCCUAGCGUUGUCCGGAAUUAUUGGGCGUAAAGCGUGCGUAGGCGGUUACAUAAGUCGGGUGUGAAAGCCCCGGGCUCAACCUGGGAAUUGCAUUCGAGACUGCGUAGCUAGGGUGCGGAAGAGGGAAGCGGAAUUUCCGGUGUAGCGGUGAAAUGCGUAGAUAUCGGAAGGAACACCAGUGGCGAAAGCGGCUUCCUGGUCCAGCGCUGACGUUCAGGCGCGAAAGCGUGGGGAGCAAACAGG
rnacentral:rRNA from 1 species